rnacentral:rRNA from 1 species
GCUUACGGCCAUACCAGCCUGGGUACGCCCGAUCUCGUCUGAUCUCGGAAGCUAAGCAGGGUCGGGCCUGGUUAGUACUUGGAUGGGAGACCGCCUCGGAAUACCAGGUGCUGUAAGCA